rnacentral:rRNA from 1 species
AGUGAACGCUGGCGGUAGGCCUAACACAUGCCAGUCGAACGGCAGCACAGUAAGAGCUUGCUCUUACGGGUGGCGAGUGGCGACGGGUGAGGAAUACAUCGGAAUCUACUUUUUCGUGGGGGAUAACAUAGGGAAACUUACGCUAAUACCGCAUACGACCUACGGGUGAAAGCAGGGGAUCUUCGGACCUUGCGCGAUUGAAUGAGCCGAUGUCGGAUUAGCUAGUUGGCGGGGUAAAGGCCCACCAAGGCGACGAUCCGUAGCUGGUCUGAGAGGAUGAUCAGCCACACUGGAACUGAGACACGGUCCAGACUCCUACGGGAGGCAGCAGUGGGGAAUAUUGGACAAUGGGCGCAAGCCUGAUCCAGCCAUACCGCGUGGGUGAAGAAGGCCUUCGGGUUGUAAAGCCCUUUUGUUGGGAAAGAAAAGCAGCAGGUUAAUACCCCGCUGUUCUGACGGUACCCAAAGAAUAAGCACCGGCUAACUUCGUG